GCAAAAGAAUAAGUGCUAAAUCUAACCGCACUGAGUUCGCUCUCGCUGCCUGAUUUUUAGUCAGGAUUAACCAGUGAGCAGCCGCUCCGUUCACUCCUCCUCGUCUUUGGGAGGAUGCUGAGCGUCGUUUAGAAGACUUGCUGAUGCAGUUGAGCCUCAGGGCUGCAUCGGGACUUUAACUGCGGAUAUGCUCGCCAUCAGUUGUCUGCGACAUCGAUGGGGGCAGAAAAAUCGCCAACUUGGCCAGCAGACUACGCACGUAGAAGACUGUGGGCUCGGUCAUCGGACCGGGGUUCAAUUCCCCGCGCCUCCACCA
rnacentral:tmRNA from 1 species